rnacentral:rRNA from 1 species
AACGAACGCUGGCGGCAUGCCUAACACAUGCAAGUCGAACGAGAUCUUCGGGUCUAGUGGCGCACGGGUGCGUAACGCGUGGGAAUCUGCCCUUUGGUUCGGAAUAACAGUUGGAAGCGACUGCUAAUACCGGAUGAUGACGAAAGUCCAAAGAUUUAUCGCCAGAGGAUGAGCCCGCGUAGGAUUAGCUAGUUGGUGUGGUAAAGGCGCACCAAGGCGACGAUCCUUAGCUGGUCUGAGAGGAUGAUCAGCCACACUGGGACUGAGACACGGCCCAGACUCCUACGGGAGGCAGCAGUGGGGAAUAUUGGACAAUGGGCGAAAGCCUGAUCCAGCAAUGCCGCGUGAGUGAUGAAGGCCUUAGGGUCGUAAAGCUCUUCUACCCGGGAUGAUAAUGACAGUACCGGGAGAAUAAGCUCCGGCUAACUCCGUGCCAGCCGCCGCCGUAA